UGGAAUCCUUUGAUGUUUUGUGAUGACUCCUUAUUUCUCUUGGGUAAAAAUGAGCAUUUCGUGACAUUGUAAUCAUCUUACUUUAUCCAUAAAGAGAGUUAAAGGUGAGAAUCACUUUCUACUACGCCCUAUAAAAUAGCCUGGUGAAGAAGUUUAUAGAGCCCUGUGAUAAAGGAUGACCCUCAGGGACCUGGACCCCAUCAGGGAGUAUUUACUGAGAUUUUCGGCUUGGGCAUCUACAGCUGUUGUAACAGGACUAGAGUGUCUUGAGUGACAAGCACACAACACGAAAAAUCAAAGAAGCAGGGGACUGGAGCGGAGAAACAACUUAAAGGCCUUCAUACUGCUUUUAAAAAUUUUGCAGGUUUGUAACAAGUUGGACCCAGCGGGUUCUCCUUCACUGACCUGUGCCCUGGUUCACGGCUGUCACACACUCCUAGGUGGGGGUCUUCCAGUUCACUUCCAGAUGCACCGAUUACUCCCUGAUGUGACUCCAAGGAGAAAGGAAAACGGAUGUAUGGCUGGACUCCCAAACCCUUCGAUUCUGCACCAGCUGCCCCCUGCUGCUCAGAUGCACAGAGAAGAUUCGAAGAGGACACACUGCAAAGAAAUGGAUACUCUUCAUUAUUUUAAGUCUGGCCUCAAGUCCUCAGUGUUGGGUUCUGGAGAAGGAAACCCUGUUCUCAACUUUUCCCUAAGGAGGAAAAGCAAGGCUUGAAAUUGUUCAGGCUCCAGGCUACUCACUGAAGCCACUUUUGCUAGGGAUGGCGACUCCUGGGAAGGACACAUGGUGUCUAUCUCUGAUGUGGACGGUGGGGCCCUGCAUUUCGUUGUUACUCUGAGUUCUGAGAUGUGGUUUCAGCUUAGGGAGGAACAGCAGGCAUGAUAGCGUCCUUGACUCAGGAGUGUUUAGACCUAACCAGCCAUCGAAAGAAUAAAAUGCUUCCAUAUGAUCCAACCCAACUCACUGGGGUACUACUUUGGCACAAAAUCCUGGCUAGUAAGAAAGUACAAUAUUUCCUAUUUUGCCCCACUUGUGCAUGCAGGGCCUUUUGAGG